AUGGAGGCUGUUGAAGGAUUGAUGAAGGGCUUGAGGCUGACGGCGGCUGAGAGAAAAGGGUUGAGGAUUGGAGAGAAGGAAAAGGAGAAGGUGUUUGAUUGGGCACCAAAAGAACCACAGGCAGUUGGGAAGUUGUUUUCGGAGAAGCUUGCACAUGCAGGGGUGGUACGGAACAUGUUGGGCAGAAUUUGGUGUCCGAUUAAAGGUGUAGGAUGCAAGGAGCUUGAGGAGACUAUCUUACUACUUAAUUUCAGGCAGCCAGCGGGGUGGAGGAGGGCUCUGGAGGAAGGACCUUGGUGGUUUGAUAAGGAACUUUUAGUUAUGGAAGAGUAUGAUCCGGAAAAGACGGUGGAGGAGUAUGACUUCAACUUGAUUCCUAUAUGGAUUCGAGUCUUCGGCCUGCCUCUAGGGUCCAUGAACAAAGGUAUGGGAGAACUG
rnacentral:rRNA from 1 species